CCUACGGGGGGCAGCAGUGAGGAAUAUUGGUCAAUGGACGAGAGUCUGAACCAGCCAAGUAGCGUGAAGGAUGACUGCCCUAUGGGUUGUAAACUUCUUUUAUAUGGGAAUAAAAUGUUCCACGUGUGCCAUUUUGUAUGUACCUUAUGAAUAAGGAUCGGCUAACUCCGUGCCAGCAGCCGCGGUAAUACGGAGGAUCCGAGCGUUAUCCGGAUUUAUUGGGUUUAAAGGGAGCGUAGGUGGAUUGUUAAGUCAGUUGUGAAAGUUUGCGGCUCAACCGUAAAAUUGCAGUUGAAACUGGCAGUCUUGAGUACAGGAGAGGUAGGCGGAAUUCGUGGUGUAGCGGUGAAAUGCUUAGAUAUCACGAAGAACUCCGAUUGCGAAGGCAGCUCACUGGACUGCAACUGACACUGAGGCUCGAAAGUGUGGGUAUCAAACAGGAUUAGAUACCCCUGUAGUC
rnacentral:rRNA from 1 species